CACGUCAGCGCGCUUUGCUGACGUGGCAACAAAUCGCGUCCACGAGGGGGCAAUUUGUUGCCACGUCAGCAAAGCGCGCUUACGUGG
rfam:Gossypium hirsutum cultivar TM-1 chromosome 22, whole genome shotgun sequence